GGAUUUGUCGGUUGGUCGGGCUUCACUGUCCGCACUGGCCUGAUGGAUUCCUACCUUCUGAACAACCAGCUUGCUACUAAGUUAGUGCGUUGGGGAAGCAGAGCUAUUACCUUGAAAAAAUUAGAGUGCUUUAAGCAAGCUUGUGCUUGGAUAGAUUAGCAUGGAAUAAUAAAAUAGGACGGCAUGGUUCUAUUUUGUUGGUUUCUAGGAUCACCGUA
rnacentral:rRNA from 1 species